GCGCGCGUCGUGGGCAUUGUUUCUGGCGCACAGCUCAUUGGGCAACUGCGUGAACAGCGAACCCUAGCCCCAAUCCAGAGCCCGCACGCCCCCUUGCUCCUCGCUCCUCCUCCCUUCCUCCCCCCUCUGUCCGCCGCCACACUCCCUCCUUCCCAACCCUCGUCGCCACGGGCUCCACGCUAGGAGCCUUGCUGCCUAUUGCUCCACCUCCACCACCUCGCCUCUUUUUCCUCCUCGUCGUCCCAUCGCUCGCGCGCAGGUCGCCGCCGUGGGGAACAGGAAAGUGGCGGGAUGGGGUGGCCAUGAGUGCUUCCCAUCCCGACGGCGCCUCCUCCUCACAGCAUUGUCACAGGCGCACUUUCUUCUCCUCCCUCCUCCCUCCCUCUUCACCACAUCCACCAUUCCCCUCCCUCAUCCAUGAUGGACGCCCCCACAUGAAUCUCCCAGGCAGGGGAAGAAGGCCAUGGCGAGUUAGAGGCUACAGGGGUGGGUGGAGCGGCUGAUGUGGAUGGGGUCAGUGCUUGAGGGAGGGUUACCGACUGGAGCAACAGAAGCAACAAGCUCGACGAGGUUCAGAUUGGAUACAAAUGGUUCACCAAAGACAGAGUAUGAGCAAGAGUGAGUGGCUCGGCUGUGCAAUUUUUCUCCCGUCGAGGUAUGCCUCCGUCUCACUGGGACAAGGAUCAACUUGUCUGCCACAUAUUUGCUUUUCUUUGAUGGGCUGUGCAAUUUUUCUCCCGUCGAGGUAUGCCUCCGUCUCACUGGGACAAGGAUCGUCUGCCACAUAUUUGCUUGCUUUGAUGCACAUUAUUGUUCGAUUGGAGUGUGCUGACUAUACAGUCCUGAUUCUGUAAAAAGAGAAUAUGUUGUCCCAUCAGACAUGUUCAGUUUAGAUCCUGAUGAUGAUAAUUGUUAUGUUAUGUUAUGUCGGUUCCAUCAUUUCUUCAAGUGGUUCAGGUGUGAAUCUAAGGCCAUUUGCUGCCUCCUUAAUUUUUGGGUCUACCAUAUGCAGAGAUUCUCUCAUGGUUCUACUUCUAUCUUAUAGAAAGCAAAUAUUUUCUGUUGAUGAGCUUGUAGCUCUUUGCUACUGACCAUAUUUGUUCUCCAGGGCUGUAUGAAGUAAAAACUUUAUUUCUGCUCUAUGACUAUGUGUCGAAGAUGUUUUAUAGGUUGUAAGUUUGAUUUCUUUGUCUUGAACAUGGUUGGUUUAGUUUCUCAGAAUGUUGUUUGUCCAGUCUUUGUUAAUAGUGUGAUCACCACAGAACUAAAAGACAGUAUUUGGUACUGAAUUGUAGUUCGCUUUGUUAAUUUCUGCAACACCAUUUCAUAUUUACAUUUGAAUUGUACUUACUUAGUUUGUAAGGCCUUAUAGUUUCAAUGCUUUAUUUGCUUGUGGAGCUACGGCUCUGUUACAUUUUGAUGAUUAUAUAUUUUUGUAUAUGAAAUUUGUAGAACAAAAGUAAAAAAAUUGAAGGCCCAACUUACUUUGGUAUUAAGGUAAUUAACUCUAGGUUCCAUUGCAAGAGCUCAAGCAUGUUCUUACAUGAUUACUCCAACUUAGGAGUACUACCAAACAUUGGUUCAUUUUUCUGAUAGAUUCAGUUAUGGCAAUACUGAAUCAUUUUUGGUGUGAUUAGGGACAAGGAGCUGCAGUGUCAUGGAUUGGAGCGAAGGGGAGGUCCUGACGGCUGAAGAUGGUGUGGAUAGGAGGAGCUCAAAGCGGCAUUCCCAUGGAGGGAUGGCUGAUGUCAAGGUGCUAAAAUCUUAUGUGUCAAGGGCAUUGUGAUGGCACGAUCCAUGUCUCCUGCGAGUGCUCGACAUCCCGUAGCCCCAAAGAGGAGGGCUCCAAGGUUGGACAACAAGCUUCACUGGAUGAAAGCAUUUCCCUUCUAAAACAGAGUGCUGCUGACAUGAAUGCACAAGUUAGUCUUGAUACUAAGAUGGUCAUGGAAUUGCUUGAUCUAUGCUAGGUCAACAUGUCAGCCAACCACUUAAAAAUAAUCAAUUGCAUUUCUUCCUCUGAACUGUGAAACCUGACGAGUGAUGACACAUCAGCAAUGUUGCAUUCAAUAGCCUAUUUGAAGUUAACAAAAGCUUUAUUAGCUAGCUUAGCAAUAGAAGAUGUCAGUGAACACGAGUGCCCAGUCAAGAGCAAUGAAACGGUAGAUACUUUAGAGUGUAAUUUUAUAUAUGAAUAAAUAAAUGACACUUAAGUCGUUAAGCAAUUGUUGUUGAGGUAUUGUCUCACCCUUUAUCUGCUCUCUUUUAAACUGUGGAAUGCUAUGGGCUGGAGCUACAGGGGAGGAGGGAGGUAAGUUUGGAUGCAAUGAAUAUUGUUCGGAUAAAAAAUUGGGUGCAAACUAAGUACUGACGGUGGGACUUAUUCCAUUUGUUUAUCCUUUUGCCCUUUUAAUCAAGAACAACGUUCAGAGCUUACAUGGUUGCUGAAAUUUAAUUCUGUGAAAUAGAAAUAUUAAUACCAUGCAAUGAUCAGUGUAGAGUAGGAUAGUUAUUGAGUUCUUCCUUAGUUUUCAUUGAGAAAAGAUUGGAACUGAUUUGUUCUAAACUUCUAAUGCAAAGUAAAGAUGGUGUGCAUGAGAGAAGCUCGAAGUGGCAUUCCGAUGGAGGGAUGGCUGAUGGCAAGGUGCUAAAAUCUUAUGUGUCAAGGGCAUUGUGAUGGCGCGAUCCAUGUCUCCUGUGACCGCUCGGCAUCCCGAAGCCCCAAAGAGGAGGGCUUCAAGGCUGGACAACAAGCUUCACUGGAUGAAAGCAUUUCCCUUCUAAAACAGAGUGCUGCUGACAUGAAUGCACAAGAAAUUACUGUGUGCCUUAGAUUGGGAUGCUGAACCAGAUGAAAAAUGUCACUGCAGCUUUGAGUGCAGUCAUAGGUUAAAUGGAAGUAUUGGAUGGAGCAAUUCAGUGGGGCUGCUGCAGGAGGAUACAUAGUAACAAUGAUGGAAAGAACCUUCCCCACUCGCUCCUGAACCUUAUAAUGUGCCUUUGUGUGUAUAUUUAAUCAUUCACGGAAACCUGAUUUCUAUUUUAUGGUCUGAUUAGACAGGACUGAUAAUCGCUGAG
rnacentral:rRNA from 1 species